GAUGUACUCCCUCCGUCUAGAAAUACUUGUUGAAGAAAUGGAUAGAAAUGGAUGUAUGUAGAACGAAAAUUGGUCUACAUUCAUUCCUCUGACAAGUAUUUUUAGAUGGAGGGAGUAACUA
rfam:Triticum aestivum genome assembly, contig: Triticum_aestivum_CS42_TGACv1_scaffold_542659_6DS